UACGUAGGGUGCAAGCGUUGUCCGGAAUUAUUGGGCGUAAAGAGCUCGUAGGCGGUUUGUCGCGUCUGCUGUGAAAACCCGAGGCUCAACCUCGGGCCUGCAGUGGGUACGGGCAGACUAGAGUGCGGUAGGGGAGAUUGGAAUUCCUGGUGUAGCGGUGGAAUGCGCAGAUAUCAGGAGGAACACCAAUGGCGAAGGCAGAUCUCUGGGCCGUAACUGACGCUGGAGGAGCGAAAGCAUGGGAGCGAACAGGA
rnacentral:rRNA from 1 species